GACCAGCUGUAGCCCUCAAUCUAUAUGGCCCACACUGCCAGCCCACACCGUGAGACCCACAUGGCUUAGAUUUUCAAAACUGUAAUUUCUGCUCAUGGCUGAUGGAUGACCAGCCUGAUAGACUUCUAACACAGGGAGCGAAGGAACUGCCCUCCAACAAUCUCUAAAGAAAAAAGUUACAUCCACAGGAGGUAUUAUUUUUCUGCAUUAUUUUCGUGUCACUCUAGAAAAAUCUCAAAGUGCACAAAAUCUCCAAUUCCAUGCUCUUAGACCACAGUCACUUUAGGAAGGUUUGCCAAGUCUUAUCUCUUUCUCAUUUUUUUUUUUUCUGUAAGAACCCAUCUUAUAAUUGGCUUCCUUGACCCAGAAAUAAUUCUGGAGCAUCUAAAGCUUAGUGUCGGUCAGCUCGGCUCUUGGCUACUCUGAAUUCACUAACUCUAGGCCUCUGGAGUUUCUUGACAAAAUUGGCUCAGAUCACAUUUUCCUGGAUAGCUUAAUUUCAAAUGAACUUUGUCCAACACUAAGGUUAUUCCAGGAGUUUACAAUGGCCCUAGGAAGACUCCAGCCUGCUGCAUGAAAGCUGCAUGGUUGAAUGAGUGCUAGGGAUAGCAGGUGACACCUGCCCAACACCGCCAACCUAUAUUGUUCCCUCCCCAACUUCUCUGUGAACUUUCUCUCCUGAUACUUUUUUCCUGCUGAGAAGCUUCCAAAAUUUUCUCCUCAUAGUAGUCAAAACAUCCACCACCAAACAGAAUUACCCCGCUAGAUGAAACAGGCUAUAGAACCAGAAGAUUCUAUACUGUGGGAAGAUCAUUCAAGUCACUUCCCUCUAACUCUGAAUCCUGAUUUUCAGGUCCAAGAACAAUGAAAACAACAAGAACACACAAUAAUAACAAUGUCAGACACGUGCCAGAUGCGUGCCAUGUAUUAUCUCUAACGCUUGAAAUAGUCCCGCAAGCAUUUCCAAACAGGAACAUGAGGCCCACAAAGACUGAACAACUUGGUCAAGGGCAUACACAAUCAGGAACGGGCAGUGCUAGAUUCAUACUCGGGAAUGUCUGUGUCUAAAGCUGAUGCUUUUUCUUCUAAAAUAUUCUGUUGCCCCCAAUUAUGGAAACUGUUCUUAGGAAAAACUUUGCACAUUAGUUUGCCAAAGAGAGGUUGUUCUGGUUGUAAUUCCUGCCUAUAUAAAAAACUGUGAGUUUGGUUCAUGCCUCAGUCAAGUAUCUUUUCAAUCCCCUAGCUGAAUUAAAGCUUCCUGCUUUGAGUUAAUAGUAUAAAAAUCAUACUCCUAAACAUAUAAUUUUGUUUCCUUUAGCCCUUAGCCCGUGCCCCUUUCUUGAUAGAGCACCCAGCCAAGUGGGCCUUUGAAUCUGUUUCUAAUAAAGGAGGCUGAUUCUGCACCUUUUAUUUUAAAGAGGAAGAUAAAGGAAGGUUGUCUGUCACUGAUUUGUCUCAAGGCAUGUAACAGCAAGACAUCUUGGUAGAGCUGAGGCUUAGCCCUCGGGCCACUGCAUUGAUUGUUAUUUCUUCUGAUGUCCACACCUCUUCGCAGGCUUCCAGAGCGGGGCUGGGAUAUUGCAGAAUAUCAUGGACGUAACCAUCUGCACUACUGAAAGGAAUAUGCUCCAAACAGUCUGCUCAUUGCUGCAGAAAGAAAUAUCAUAUGAGAGACCAACUCUUGGUCUCCGUUUCCUCAUUUAUAAAGCAGUUGGCAAAAUUUUCAAAACUACAGGUUUCUUUUAUGAAAGAAAAUCCUAUGCAGAAACCCCGAAACUGAUAGAACGGGAAACACUGUGGCUGAAACACAGGGUUGGAAAGCACCACCAGGGGCCUCACCUGGAGUCUUCCCUAUUCCUCGCCCUGAGUUGCCUUUGGGGCACUUGCCUAAGAAGCUCUCCAAGACACAGCGUGACAACGACUGGAUGAGAUUUUCUUGAGGCCCGUCUCCAGCUCUGGCAUUCAAGGAUCUGUGGAUUCCCUUCCUCCAUGCGUCUGUCACAUCAGGGGCACGGAAAGGCGUUGUCCCCUCCUGUAGCCAUUGAUCCCUCUCAGCCCACACUGGCGACGCUCCUACGAUUCUGGAGGGUUGAUGUUAGCUUCUCUCCUACUCCCACGCCUCUGGACCUUGUGAGUUCAGGGCAGGAGCCCGUCCCAUUGCCUCGAUUUCCCCAGGCACUGCUAUUCCCGACUCGCUCUCAGAAACUUCGCGAAACAGUUAUCUUGCUUCUCAUUGCAUACAAAGGUCAGGACAUUCCACGUUCUUCAACGGUUUUCAAGAAAUAUUUCAGCACAUUCGACUCUGGAUGUCUCGGGGAGGAAGAAAAGUGUUACACAUUCACUUCCUUGUAGAGCUAGAGACCCUUUGUAGAGGAAGCAAGCCAAUGGUGAUGACUUGAAGAUAAAUCUUCAAGGAAAAAUCAUGAGAAGAAUGCUGGGGAUAUUUCUUGGUUUGGAUACCAGGGGGUAGAAGAGGAUGUGGAACUGAGGAAAACAAGUUAAAGAUGAGCAUGUGUCAACUCGUGGAGAGGCCUUCUUGAAAGACAGAUUCCCUGGCCCCAGCCCCGAAGUUUCUGAUUCAGUAAGUCAGGGGGAGAGUAGGGGAUUUUGCAUUUUCUAAGUUCUCUGGUAAUGUUGCUGUUGCUGUUCAGGGAGCCUCACCCAUUAAGGAUUGUAAAAGGAGCCUUUCAGAUGAAGCCUGGAUCUGGGGAAAAUCCUCCUUGCCCUGGGGCUUUUUGACAGGUGUUCACGUGAAAUGCAGGCCACAGUAGUUUUCUUUUUGCUGGCAAAGUCAGACGUGUGCUCCUGACCUGAGGGUUGGAGAAGAGAUGUUGGCUGCUCUCCAGAGGAAAAAACAACAACUUUGCACUUUGAAGGAAUGUUUAUUAAUCCUCAUUAUACCAGCAGUUCUUCUUGUAGUGGGAAUAAGGAGCUAAAGGUGUAACUCAUUUCAUUAAUUAGACAAUCUUUUUCAGUCACAAAAGUGUUUUAUUACUCUUUCUUCCUUUCUCACCCUACCCAUCAGUCCUGUUGAACAUUUCCUAAUAUGCACAGACAUACAUACAUAGAUGUAAACACACAGACAGACACACAUACACAUACACACACACACUUCCAGUCCCUUCUACCUGUAGACGGAGGUUUGACUUCAUGUAGCUACUAAGACAUCAGCCUUCAUUGUAGCCAAGUAAAUGCAUUAGGAACACGAAAUUAUCUUGCUUAAUUUAGUUGUCUCCUAUAGGAUAGCUUGCCUAAUAAGUAUGGUUUUUCCUGCAGUUUAGGCUGAGUCUGUGAAUUUAUUGAAUCCAAUUGCUCUUGCUGCCUUCCGAUCUCUCUUUGUUGCUUCUGAAUUAAAAUUCUGUGUUAGCUACAGCCCGGUAUUUCUGCAAACUGCAGGAGGUGUGCAUUUUCCUUGUGUGUUAUUGUUAUUAUGAUAUUAAUUAUACUACACUCAACUGAAUGUCAGCAGUGUCCCAGGAAAUGUACUGAGCAAAGAUUUUGAAAAGGUCCCUGCCUAGGGAUUAUGUAAAAGCCAUUCAAGUAGAAUUGAAUUAACAUAUGACUUAGUUUAGUGUGGCUGAACUUGAAUAUUGAUUGAUUCUUUGGAUGAGAAGUGAGUUUGUGGGAAAGUAAAAGAAAUGAACUCUAGAAAUUUUAGGAUCUAGUUUUCUGUCACAUCCCAUGAUUUGAAGUAAGAACUGGGUUGCAUCUGCAGCAGAUAAUUUGUGCUUAUCCUUCUAUUUCUUGGAGUUGAAAUAGUAGGAUGCAUGGACUCAAAUUGGCAGUAGGGGAGUGGGAAUGAUGUCUGAUGUCUUCAUCACACCAUUUUUCAGACCAACUGUGCUCUAGCUUCUUAGCUUUAAAUUCUUCAUUUUGUUUUUCUGUUACAGGUGGAUGAGAGUAACGUUUUGUUUCAUGUUAAAAAAGGUUGUAUAUUUUCUCUAUUUUCCUGGGCCACUUCUCCCACCUUGUUUAAAUUUUUUUUUUACUGAAGUUUAUUAUAUGUGAAUGAAGUACAUAAAGUGCAUUAAUUAAAAAUGCAUGGAUUGAUCUAUUUUUCCUGUCUACACCUAUAUAAUACCUGGCUCAAGACAGACUAUUCUCAUACCAAAGAAUUUUCCUCAUUUUUCAGUCAAUACCUCCCCCAAAAGUAAUCACUACUCUGAUUUCUAUGUUCUAACAUCUUGAAUUAGAUUUGCAUGCUCUUGAACUUAAUAUAAAUAGCACCAUAUAGUGUACUUUUUGUGUCUGGUUUCUUCUGAUCACUAUAAUGUCUGGGAAAGUAUGUGGUUGCAUGUCUGUGGUUGUAAUCUAUUUUUUAUUUCUGUGUAAUAUUCUGUUUUAUGAGCACAUACAAUUCAUUUCCUCAUUUUUUUAUUAUUGGAUAUGGGUUGUUUCCAGUUUGGGCUGUUAUGACGAAAGCUGCCAUCAAUAUUUUUAUACGUGUGUUUUGGUGGUCACAUGAAAUAAUUAUUCUUGAAUCAUGGAAUCAGCAUAUGAUUAGCUCUAAUUUGUAAUGGCCAUAUUCCAAAUUAUUUUAUUAAUUUAUACUUCCUCCAGCAAUGUUUCAGAGUUCCAGUUGUUCCACAUUCUCAUCCGUGUUUGGUAUUGUAAGUCUUCAAAAUGUUAGCUAUUCUUGUGGGCAUGCAUUAGUAUCUCAUUGCCAACCUAGUUUUUUUUUUUUUAAUCAAUUAAUGAAACUUCUAGAUUAAAUGAAAAAGAAUUCUUAAGGUUGUUUAGAAAAUGUCAGUUUAAUCAGCUGUCAAUAUUUUAAAGCCACGAGAGACAUCUACACAGUUAUUAACUAGUCAGGUUCAGUGACAAAUGGUGAGCUGAGAUUCACACAAGAAAUUAUUAUUAUUAAAUGCAUGCUAGGUAACAAUUAAUUUGCUAAAGUAUUUAUUGUUGUGACUGUGAUACAGCACUAACAUUGUUUCUAAACACUCCACAGUUUGUGCUGCUUUCAGACCCUAAUGUAAUCCAGAUGUCCUCACCCGAUCUAAGUACAGUUCUUUAAUGAACUCCACAGUCUUUAGAGCCCCAAGCAUUUACUCUAAGAACAGAACCCACAAACUAAACAAGAUAAUUUUUUUUUCUGAGAAGCUGCUAUCAACAUUUUUGUACACUUUUUGGUGAUCUUAUACUCCUGGGUCAUUAACUUUUUUCAAAUAAUUUCGAAAAUUUGUCACAGGGCGCGUGGGUGGCUCAAUCGUUAAGCGUCUGCCUUCGGCUCAAGUCAUGAUCCCAGGGUCCUGGGAUCGAGCCCCACAUCAGGCUCCCUGCUCCGCGGGAAGCCUGCUUCUCCCUCUCCCAUUCCCCCUGCUUGUGUUCCAUCUCUCCCUAUAUUUCUCUCUGUCAAAUAAAUAUAUAAAAUCUUAAAAAAAAAAAAAGAAAAUUUGUCUUUGUGCCAUAAUGGGAAAGUCAAACGAUGAGGUGUUUUCUCUAUUAAUUGUUUUUGGGAAAAGGCUGUUCUUUUGUCUCCAUUGGGCCUUUUUUUUAUCCUUUUCCAGCUUACCUUUGUUCUGGGUGUCAGAGUAGGGGCUGACUAGGCCAGAGACGCUGCUGCAAUCUCACUUUCAACGAGUGGUGUUUGGAAACCCAGAUUUCUGGGUUGGAUUAGAGGCAAACAAGACUUGAAGGAAGGGGACCACAUCUCAGUUCAGGCAGUUUUGUAGUUUCUUUGUUCAAGUCUUCUGACAACUUCUUUUGAUGAACAAAUACUGAGUAGGGUGGAGCAAUAGAACAAUAAGUGAAAGAACAAUGGAAUUCUUUAAAGUGGUUUUUAAAACAUCCUUAACAAUUGUCGGAAUGACUUCUAUCUGCAGUUGAACCCAAAUGCUGAGGCCAGAGAAGAAAGGGAAUCACUGACACAGAAGAGGGAACUGCUUUAGCAGUAUGUGAUGUUGAUGAGGUCCAACACAGCAGUGUAAUAUAGUUAAUAAGUACCAAGACAAUUCAAUGGGAGAAAGAAUAGUGUUUUCAAUAAAUGUGGACAAUUGGGUAUCCACAUGCAAAAGAAUGCAGUUGGACUCCUACUUCACAACAUAUUCAAAAAUUAACUGAAAAAGGAUCAAAGACCUAAGUGUAAGAGCUAAAACUAUAAAGCUCUUAGAAUAAAACGUAACUGUAAAUCUUUGUGACUCUGACUUGCGCAAUGAUUUCUUAGAUUUGACACAAAAAGCACAAGCAACCAAAAUAAAAAUAGAUAAAUUGGACUUCAUCAAACUUUAAAACUUCUGUUCAAAGGACUCUAUAAAAAAAGUGGAAGACAACCCACAACAUGGGAAAAAAUAUUUGCAAACAUAUAUAUCUAUAAGGGACUAGUAUCCAAAAUGUAUAAUUAUUCACCUCAAUGACUAAAAUACAAAUCACCUAAUUUUUAAAAAUGGGCAAAGGAUUUGAAUAGACAUUUUCCAAAGAAGAUAUACAAAUGGGCAACAAGCACAUGAAAGGAUGAUCAACAUCAUUAGUUAUUAAAGACUACAAAUCAAAAUCACAGUGAGAUACUAUUUCAUACCUAUAACAAUGGCUAGAACUAAAAAGCCUAAUAAUAGCAAGCACUGGGAAGAAUGAAGAGAAAUAGGGACCCUCUCACAUAUUACUGAUGGGAUUGUAAAAUGACAUAGCCACUUUGGAAAAACAGUUUGGCAGUUCCUCAGAAAGUUAAACGUAGAGUUUCUAUAUGACCCAGAAAUUUCAUUCCUAGGUAUAUACCCAAGACAAUUGAGCAUCUAUCUAUACAAAAACUUAUACAUGAUAUUCAUAGCAGCAAUAUUCAUAAUAGCCAAAAAGUAUAAACCAAAUAUCCAUCAAUUGAUGAAUGAAUUUAAAAAAGUGGUAUAUCUAUGCAAUAGAAUAUUAUUCAGCCAUAAAAAUGGACAAAAAGGGGCAACCUGGGUCAGUCAGUCAGUUAUGCAUCUGCCUUAGGCUCAGAUCAUGAUCACAGGGUCCUGGGAUCAAGCCCCAAGUCAGGCUCCCUGCAUAGUGGAGAGUCUCCUUCUCCCUCUGGCCCUCCCCACUCUUGUGCUCUCUCUCUC